rnacentral:rRNA from 1 species
UGGGGAAUAUUGCACAAUGGGCGAAAGCCUGAUGCAGCAACGCCGCGUGAGUGAUGAAGGCCUUCGGGUUGUAAAGCUCUGUCUUCUGGGACGAUAAUGACGGUACCAGAGGAGGAAGCCACGGCUAACUACGUGCCAGCAGCCGCGGUAAUACGUAGGUGGCAAGCGUUGUCCGGAUUUACUGGGCGUAAAGGAUGCGUAGGCGGAUACUUAAGUCAGAUGUGAAAAUCCCGGGCUUAACUUGGGAACUGCAUUUGAAACUGGGUAUCUAGAGUGCGGGAGAGGAAAGUGGAAUUCCUAGUGUAGCGGUGAAAUGCGUAGAGAUUAGGAAGAACACCAGUGGCGAAGGCGACUUUCUGGACCGUAACUGACGCUGAGACAUGAAAGCGUGGGGAGCAAACA